GACGAACGCUGGCGGCGUGCUUAACACAUGCAAGUCGAACGGAAAGGCCCUGCUUUUGUGGGGUGCUCGAGUGGCGAACGGGUGAGUAACACGUGAGUAACCUGCCCUUGACUUUGGGAUAACUUCAGGAAACUGGGGCUAAUACCGGAGAGGAGCUCCUGCUGCGUGGUGGGGGUUGGAAAGUUUCGGCGGUUGGGGAUGGACUCGCGGCUUAUCAGCUUGUUGGUGGGGUGGUGGCUUACCAAGGCUUUGACGGGUAGCCGGCCUGAGAGGGUGACCGGCCACAUUGGGACUGAGAUACGGCCCAGACUCCUACGGGAGGCAGCAGUGGGGAAUAUUGCACAAUGGGCGGAAGCCUGAUGCAGCAACGCCGCGUGCGGGAUGACGGCCUUCGGGUUGUAAACCGCUUUCGCCUGUGACGAAGCGUGAGUGACGGUAAUGGGUAAAGAAGCACCGGCUAACUACGUG
rnacentral:rRNA from 1 species